rnacentral:rRNA from 1 species
AUGCUCCUGGUGCCUCCCUCCGAGUGGGAGGGGGAGAGGGGCGUCAGCGGCGAGCCGGAUGGGGCGAGGGGCGUCGAUGAGAUGCCCCCGGCGCUUCCCUCCGGGCGGGAGGAGGAGAGGGGCGUCGGCGACGAGGCGGGUGUCGGCGGCGAGAUGGUCUCUGACGGGCGUGAUGAGGUGGGCAGCUUAUGCGUGGAGCGUGCGUUCGCGGAGGUAUUCGCCAGGGCGCUCUUCUAUCCGACGGUGAUGCUCAACUACGGCCGCAGCUUGAUCGAGCCCGAGUUCCACUGGUGGGAUCGCAUCGACAAAGGAUAUUUGGAUAGGGGCAGUUCCUCACCAACCAAUGUCAUAAUUUAUCACGUCCGCAAAUGA